AACUUUCAACAACGGAUCUCUUGGCUCUGGCAUCGAUGAAGAACGCAGCGAAAUGCGAUAAGUAAUGUGAAUUGCAGAAUUUAGUGAAUCAUCGAAUCUUUGAACGCACAUUGCGCCCCUGGGUACUCCUAGGGGCAUGCCUGUUCGAGCGUCAUAACAACCCGUCGAGCCGACUAGGCUUGGUCUUGGGGCUCGCCCGUAUUUGGCGCGGCGGCUCUUAAACGCAGUGGCGGUGCCGGUGGUGCUUUCCGCG
rnacentral:rRNA from 1 species